GAAACAGAAUCCAUUCUGUGGGAAGCUGGAGGAAAACUGUGAUGGGCAAAGUUCCAAGAUGGCUUCUGAGAUCUCCUUCCCCCACAUAGUGUUUUGUAUAACUCCUUCCUUUUGAGUGUAGGUAGAACCUGGGGCUUGCUUCUAACAGAAUCACAUUCAUGAUCAUGCUAUAUUAUGUGGCAGAGGUAAAGGGAUUUUGCAGAGGUGAUUAGGGCCCUCAUCAGUUGACUGAAUCACAGGGGAGAUUAUCAUGGGUGGGCCUGAUCUACUUGGAGAAGCCCUUCAAUAAAGGUUUAGAGGAGUUUCUGCUGUGGUGUAAUGGGAUUGAUGACAUCUUUGGAGUCCUGGGAUGUCCUUAGAUUCCUGGCCAGCACAGUGGGUUAAGGACAUAGUGUUGCCACAGCUGCAGUUUGGAUGGCAACUGUGGCCCAGAUCUGAUCCCUGGCCUGGGAACUCCACAUGUUGCAGGUGGCCAAAAAAAGGGGCUUAAGAAAUAGAGACUCUCUCUCCACUUCUGACCUUGAAGAAGAGAGUCACAAGAAGAUGACUUCUGUCACCAACCCAAGGGAGUGUGGAAGCAAACUCUUCCCAUUAUUGUGUGUUUGUAUUUAAUUAUAUGUAUUUUAUAUAUAGAGAGAGAGAGAAGCUAUCUGGGCAUUCCUUAGCCUACUGAAAUUCAUCAAUUAUUAACCAUCAAACUUGGUCUUGCUACAAGUCUGGAUGGGAGUAGCAAGCUAGUGGUCCCAGGAACCAGAUGCAGUGGGAAAGCAGAGACUUUGGAUCCAGCUGUCCUACUGCAGAACUUCUGAAGGUUCCUGCUGAGAGGGCGGGCUGGUAUUUAUGGCUGAGGGUACAUUUGCACAUCAAUUGCACUGGAUGAGAGGAGGCAUUGUCCCAGUGAUGUGUUGUUGGCCUGAGUACCUUUUUACUUUCUGCAGUAAAAUGUUGUCUUUUAUUAUUAAUAUAAUAAUUAUGUUAUAUUGGUCAGUUCACAACUAACAAAGUCAUUUUGACCAGCCAGAGACUGUUUGAGGAGCAUGCUUCCCGGAGAACACCAAAUUGGCUCUGAGCCAUUUGUCAUCAUUGUUGUCAUUGUCUUCCUGUGGUUAUGAUCAUUAUUAAUAAUGACGAUCAUGAUCAUUAGGCUUAGAAAGAAAAUAAUGAUAAAAUGGCUCUAAUUAGGCAUUCUAAAUACGUCAUGUUCUUAUCAGUAUGUUGUCUAGUAUUAAUUAUAAUCACUAUAAUCACUCUAACAAUAUGAACUUCUCCUGGAGUUUGUCUUCUGUGUGAUCAAAGCCUUGAAAGACGUGCUCUUGUUAGCUUUCCUGACAUUCUGGCAAAGGGGAUACAGAUUUCCAGUCAUGGCCCUUGUGUGGUGGACUAAGUAUGGACUAAAGGGGAUGUAAUAAAGAACUCUAGAAACCAAAACCAAAACACAGCCGAGUCAAUGGUGGGAAGUUCAUUUUUACUUUUCUUUUUUUUUUUGGCACACUGGUGGCAUAUGGAAGUUCCCAGGCUAGGGGUUGAAUUGGAGCUACUGCUACCAGCCUAGGCCACAGCCACAGCAAUGCUGGAUCCAAGCCACAUCCGUGACUUUAGCUGUAGCUUGUAGUAACACCAGAUCCUUAAUCCACUGAGUAAGGCCAAGGAUUGAACCCACAUUCUCAUGGAGAUUGUGUCAGGUUCUUACCCACUGAACCACAGUGGAAAUUCCCAAUUCUACUUUCAACUUGAACAUUGCCUCUGCCAUUUCCCAGCUCUGUAACGUUGAGAAAUUGCUUUGCCUCUCUGAGCGUAGUGAUUAGUAAUACUUUAUCUUCCUAUUGCAAGUAGAAGCCACACGUAUCUUCCUGUUUCACAGCACAUUUAGUUGAAUGAAAUAAUGCAUGGAGCCAAGAGUAAAGUCCCAGGUUUUGAACUCUUGGAAGAAACCAAGUGAAUGUUCACUCCAGCCCUUGGGACAGAACUUGACACAUGGUUAGUUUGUACUUAAUGGCUGUUGGUUGAGUGCGUAAAGACAGCAAAGGAUUGAUGGCUUUAUAUAAUUUAUAGCUAGAAGUUUUAAAUAGAAUAAUUAAUUUCUGGUACUUAAUUUUCUGAGAUGACUGAGUCUGAGGUGCUCUGCCUCUUGUCCCAGCCCACCCGUCAGCUCUCUCUGCCCUGGAUAGGGACUUAUGGAAGCAGCUUGUGGGGGAAAAGGAGGUCUCUGGACUCUUGGCAUUAAACAAGAUGAGCACAUGUGAAGAUAGCCUGCCAUUACAGCCAUUAGUACGAUGGGUUUUGUCCCUGAGUUCACCCACCCCCUCUCCAUGUGAUUGCAGCCCUUCCUCCAGGGACUGGCUGCCCCUUCAAGGCUACCCCUGAGCCCAGGCCCUUUCUUUAACUUAACUUAACCAACAUCCACUGUGACUCGGACCUGGGCUUGGAGGAUCUCCUGUUUGAAGAAUCUUGAAGUUGGCUAAAAAUGGCAGAGUCUCUUAGCUAUUCCAACAUCCCCCUGUUCUGUAUGAUUUAUGCUAUCAUUUGCAUUUAGAAGGAGAAGGACGUGCCCAUCAAAGGUAAGCUCAGUUUCAUUUCAUUUAUUGGAACUUCCUCAUUAUUAACGAAACUAAUGAACUCUUAGUUGUCUUAGUUGUCACCAAGACUUAACAUGCUGCUAUCUGACUUCAUGUGCCCCGACCUCAUUUUUUCUUUCAAGGCCAAAGAUGUUCUAGGGUAGUCACAUCUAUAGGGCAUUUGCAGGCCUGGCUAUAAGUCCUUUUCUGCAAUUGGGCAUGCUCUUGUUUUCCAUUAGAGCAGUGGUCUCAGAGGCCAUGUGUGUGAGGUAGAAGGAUCCUGGAUCCUCUUGGAGGAGAGGAACUAAGAUACAACCUGAGACUGUGCCAGGAGAAAGAAGUAAAGCUCUGUUACCAUAGGCAUCUGAGAUGUGGAGUUUUUUGUUACAGCAGCUAGUGCAUUACCCUGACUACUGUGAAAUUAAUAAACACAGACAGAGAAAUUCCUGGAAAGCAGGAUGUUGAAGAGAUGGGCAUUCCAGGGAGAGAGACGUUCCAUUUUGUUCUUUCACUGUCAUCCUGAGUAUCUGUCUGGGAGUUAGCAGUGUGUUGACCCUCCCAUGAUUCCCACGGAUAAAAGGCGGCAGAGCCUGAGGUCCCAGGAAGGCCAGCUCUUCCGCUGGGCCCACAUUCUGCCAUGGGCUCGCUUGCCAGCCAGCUUCUUUGGAAGGCACAUCACCCUUGAUCCCAUCCCUGAUCUUGCUCGAGGGGCUUGGCCAAGGGGUGGAGGCCUGGACCCGCAGAGCCCAGGGGUAAGCUGGCCCUGAUUUCAGGCUAAAGAAUGCUCCACGGGCCCCUUUGCUGGUUGCCAUCUCUCGGCUUUGUGUGCGGGGAAACAUCUUGAACAAAAUGUCACGGAGAGAGCAUCUCAGCCGUGUCCUGCUGACUGAGGACAUGGGCUGCCGGGUUUGCCAUCUGCCUGCAGCCUCUCCGAGGUAAUUAUAUCAGAGUCUCUCAAGUCCUGGAACAAGGUGGAUGUCAGAUGCACUUUUCUUCCUCUAGGAAGGUAAUUUUCAUUUUCUCACUUCAUUUGGAGCUGCAUAUCGUUAUUGUCUUCAGGUGUGAGAGAGGUGCAGGGAGAGAGGAUGGGGGAGUGUGUGGAGUGGGAAAGAGGAGGAGCACCGUGGUGGGGGGAGUAGGACCAGGGAUGAUGUGAUGGUGGCGAGAGUGGGAGGGGCUCAACCACCCCUGAGCCUAAAGAGGGGCACAGAUACUAAUUUUGGCAACUUUUAAUUAAAGGAUAGGCUGGGAAAAUUCCAUUAUUAUUACUGCUCAGCUUUCUGACUGGAGUGGCUUAACAUCUCCUUUAUUAGUGUAAUUGUCUGAAAGUAUUUUCUUUAUUCUCAGAUUGCUAAUUUGCAUCAGGAAAAGGAAAUGUGUCUGAUAGCUCCUGAAGGAAAAUGUUUUCAGAAUUGCCAAACAUGGAGCAUUUAUGCUUUUUCCUCUGCCCCUCGUAUGAUCGCUUUUUGUUUGGAGUGAGAAGAAGAAGAGGAUUCAGGUGUAAGCAUGAAGGAUGCUUAACGAGACUGUCACCUGUAAAGCUAGCCCUCAGUGGGAAUGUGUUUUAAACAUGGGGCUUCUCCAAGUCCUUCCCCAAUGCAUCUUCCCUAGGAUAUGGGUCUUAGGACACUUCUGGGGAAGGAGGGGUGGCAGCAUCUCUUCCUUAUGGAAUUAACUAUGAAAUUUGUAUAACGAAGGCUAGUGGCCAAGACCACAAGGUUACUGGAUGCCAGGCAGCUGUCCAGGUGCCCUUGGCUCUGUAACAAAUGUUUGUAGACAUUAAAAGUGUGCUUUGAAAUAUUAAUUUUAUUGUUUUCACAGCAGAUGUACAAAUUAGACUUUAUUUUAUUUUUGUAUCAUUUUACAGUCAGAGAAAUUGAAUUUUAUAAAGAAAAAAUGCUUUAGCCAUGGUUGUCUAAUAAGUAGACCAAAAAAGUCCCUAUUUUCUUGGGAUUGAGGGAGGUCCUGGGACAUGGGACUUUCAAUUUUAAAGUGAAGUGAGUCUUGGGUAAAAUGAGAUGGGCUGGUCACUUUACUAGAAAAUUCAAUUCUGGGUCUUAAGAUCCAAGGACAGGAUUCUUUUUUGUUUCUCACAACUUCCCCCAGUAUAUGCACUAUAUUUUACAGUGUUAGUUGGCUUUAUUUAGGCAUUUAUUAUUUUGCACAUAGACACUAACUACCCUGCCAGUGAAGUAAUAUGGCUGAUCUAGAGCUGUACAGGAGAAUAAACACACCAAAUAUUAACAAUACUGAUUUGUGCCUUUUGAAGAAUUGCCUUUGAGAGGUUGCAUAUUACUCCAUUGCUCAAAAUGUGCUUGGAAAUUCCAGAUCUUGCAAUUUGUCUCUAGACCCAAUUUUUAGGGCCAUUCAAGAGGCAAAGUGUUACUAUUUUGUGGCAAAAUUGCUUUUUAGUAAUUUGCCUCUUGUUUCACCUCUCUUGCUCUUCUAGUUUGGGCCAGGAAAUAUUUUCUUGUUUACCUAUCUUUAUUAUGUGUUUUUAUAUCCUUGUACCAGCCUGUUUCAAUUGCCAUGUAUCUAUAGCAGUAGAAACUGUGGUUGAUUAUAAGUGCAGAUGGUGUUAGGUGACCAACAUGGUAACCCAUUGAAUUCUGAAGAUGCCAUGUACUGUAAUAUUUGAUGUUAUUCAAGUAUGAUAUAAAAUAUUUGAUAAAAUAUUUUAAAAUUAGCAAGGAUUUAGAAUUGGGUUAAUAAUAAGUAAGCAUUGUUACAGUGCUAUAAAUGAAACCCCAGGAAGGUUUCAGAAAACAUGUUUAGCAGGAUGUACAAGAAGAGAACCACAGUCACAGGACAUGAUGGCAGUAGAUGGGACAUUUUUUAUUUAAUUAAAAAGGAAGCCAGUAGGGAAUAUUAAUUUCUAUUUAAAUUUAGUAGAAAUAUUACAAAAGCCUAUGCAAGAAUGCUCAAAAAAAGGAGCAUUGAAAAGAUAAGGAGUAUUAAAUAUUAAAAUAUCACUUUUUAGCCUUGUGUUUCUACAUAGCAUUAGGUCAAGUAUUAGGUUGAACAAAUAGAAGUUUUUUUGGUCAGAAGUGGUUGAAUAUUGGCAGUUGUAUAUGGUUCAAACUAACGUGACUAUUUCUAUCUUGUUGAAGGAGAAAUAGAAUUGAGACAGUGAGUUAUUAGAAGCACAGGGCAGAGAGCUCUUCUGAUCCCCAAUCUAGAGAAUUAUCUGAUUUUUCUCUUUUGUAGUUCCAGCUCCAGUGGCUCUCAUAGAGCAAAAACUUUAUAAAUGUAUGUGGUGGUUUUUGAAAAAUGGUCAAAAAUUUGUUGACAUUCUUCCCAUCAGUACAUAGAAUCUAUGUCCUUACCUCUUGAAUCAGGCAGUCUUAUGAUUCUUUUUCAAAACAAACAAAUUUUUAUUGAAACAUUAUUGAUUUACUUUGCUGUGUUCAUUUCAGGUGUACAGAGAAGUUAUUCAUUUAUACAUAUGUUUCUAUAUAUAUUUUCUUUUUUAGAUUCUUAUCAAUUAUAGUUUAUUAUAAGAUAUUGGGUAGAUUUCCCUGUGCCAGACAGUAGGUCCUUGUUGUUUAUCCAUUUCAUAUACAGUAGCAUAUAUCUGUUACUCCCCAACUCCUAAUUUAUCCCUCCCUCACCCCUUUCCCUCUUUCAUGACCGUAAGUUUAUUUCUACGUCUGUGAGUCUAUUUCUACUUUGCAAAUAGGUUCAUUUGUAUAUUUUUUAGAUUCCACAUCUAAAUGAUAUGUCUUUCUUUGUCUGACUUAGUAUGAUCAUUUCAGGUCCAUCCAUAUUGUUGUAAAUGGCAAUAUUCCAUUCUUUUUUAUGACUGAGUAGUAUUCCAUUGUAUAUAUGUACCACAUCUU
rnacentral:lncRNA from 1 species